GCUGCCCUCGGGCCUGGCUCGCCCGCGGGCGGAUGGCUCCGGGUCUCUGCUGCUGAGGAUGUGGCUGCCGGGCGGAGGUCGUCCACUCCCCUGGGCCUUUCUCCGCGAGCCCUCCCACGCCGCCCGCUCCUCUCCCGGGGCGAAGGGCGGGGACGAGGCGCGCCGAAGCCCCGAGCUGAAGAGAAGGGUGGGGGCAUGAGGGCGCUGGAGUGAGGAACAGAUUGGAGCCUUCCCACUUCCUCUCCAAUCUCAGCCCCCGGGAGGAGGGGUGAGGCCCUCGAGGGGGCCCGGAGUUAAGGAGGAAUAGACCGUUUCUCUCUCUCCUGUCUCCCCCGCCUCUGCCCGUCUUCCCUCUAAGCCGGCCUCUAGGUGCAGAGGCUGACGUCCAGGAUGGGGACCGGGGAAGCCUCUGGAGGGUAUAUCCGGGAAGGCACCAAGGCUGAAGUGAGAGCGGUUCUGGGGAAGGCUUUAAAAAGCAGAUAUGGACCAGGGUAGAGUUCGUACGCUGUAGCUUUUCAAGAACACCGAUCUCAUUAAUUAAAGAACAGCAACUAUUUAAUUCCAGUUAUAAACUAUUGUUUUCCAGUUAGUCUGGGUAGGUGUGGCCGUUUGUAGAAUAGUUAGAUUACAUUAGUCUAUUGCGUUGGUACAGUUGUCUAUAGCUUGAGCAUAUAAAAACUCCUGAGCCCAGCAGAAAAGUUACUUUCCAAUACCAGUCUCCAUCCUCCGUGCUUUGGAAGUUGCAUCGUUUUCCGGUUUUUCGUACUCAAAGAACACUGUCAAUUAUGACAGCUCUGUGACCUCUGGUAAUGAAUUAGUGUAUUAGUCACUCCUGAAACGUUCCUUAAAGUGCUGGAACUUAACAGUAGCACAGCACAUCCAGUACACAGCUGUACCGUAUUUCCAUAUUUUUCAAAGCUGAAAAUCUUAAUUGGAUAUCUUGGAUCAUUAACUUAAAACCUCAGCGGAUUUUUCUUUCAAAGCAGACAUAACUGAGGAUGCUGACCAAUGAAUGCAAAUAAACUAUGCAAUAUUUUUUAAAAUAACAAAUGUAUGUUAGUUUUUUUUAAGCUGAGGUCAACUAUGUUUUGGGGGGUAUGUGCUUUUUUAAAUUAUUGUUUUAUUUCAAUCGAUUUUUGGGGGUAACAGGUGGCGUUUGGUUACAUGAAUAAGGUUUUUAGUGGUGAUUUCUGAGAUUUUGGUGCGUCCGAGCAAUGUACACUGUAUCCAAUGUGUAGUCUUUUGUCCCUCAUUAGCCUUCCCCUUACCCCUGAGCUCCCGAGUCCCCAAAGUCCAAUGUAUCAUUCUUAUUGAAGACAGCUAAAUUUUUAACUCUGAGACUCACUGGAGAGAAUGACUGGUUGUCUUUGGGUGUUACUGAAAAGCCAAAGGAUUAAGCAAUAGGGAUAAAGUAGAGGAGGAGAUAAUUGUUCUCGUAUGUCAUAUGAAAAUGCUAACCAUAGUUUGUAAGCUAACAGAAGAAGCCUGAGGAAGUUCCCGAAUUUAUGAUAUCCUCUUCCCUUUUUUCCAAAGAAAGAUGCAGUCUAGCACCUCAGUUAAGAAUAUGGACUCUAAAGUCAGACUGCCAGGCUUCAAAUUCCAGUUCUGCGACCUCAGCAAAGUUACUUAACCAAGCUCUCAGUGCCUUGUUUUCUUCAUCUGUAAAAUGAGGAUGACGUCACAGCAUUGUUGAGAGAAUUAAUACAGGCUCCAGACUUGUGAAUGGAGAAGUGUUGAGGUGACCCCAGCUCCAGCCACCAGCUGACGACAACCAUACCGGAGAUCCUGAGAGCUGCCUAGCUGACCCCAGGCACCCCCCAGACUUAUUCAGCACUUAGAAGAAUGCCAGGCAGGCUUUCCCCACCAACCAAGAUGGAAUAACAGGGAAAAGACAUACCCUUCUAUCUUCAAUAAUUGGAAACCCAGACAAAGUUUAUGAAACGCUGGUUUUCAAGACAUAGGACAUCAGACAAUCAAGGACAGUAAACACUGAGAUGGGAAACAAACAAGGUGAGUACUGCAAUUGCCCAACAUUACUAGCUGGAAAGAGUUUCCCGACCAUGGCAGAGGGAGGAGGAUCCUUUGAGGUUCUGUGGUGUCCCUGAGUUGAGGAGACAAAGUUGAAAUUCCAGAGUGGUCAAGGCAGCUGGAGUUUGUAGAGCAGAGUACCAGAAAGAAAAUAGAUGCACAGAGAGAACCUCAGAGAUCUGCAAAAGAUCUCAGCUCUUCAGCUGUGCACCUAUCAGUACAUGCAUGUGACAAAGCACCCCAAGGCCAGGGGAAGAAUCACCUGAAAGUAUGAAGAGAAGAAUACUUGGAGCAUAUACAAACCAGGAAUAAUUUCAGUUCUCACCAGCCAAAUUGGAAGACCCCAUAGAUAACAGGCAUUAGGUAGAGCAGGGGUCCCCAACCUCCAGGGGCACUGACCAGUACUGUUCAUGGCCUGUUAGGAACUGGGCUGCACAGCAGGAGGUGAGCGGCAGGCUAGCCAGCAAACCUUCAUCUGUAUUUAUAGCUCCCAUCACUUGCAUUACUCCCCAUCACUCCCCAUCACUUGCAUUACCACCUGAGCUCCACCUCCUCUCAGAUCAGCAGCAGCAUUAGAUUCUCAUAGGAGUGUGAACCCUACUGUGAACUGCACAUGCAAGGGAUCUAGGUUGUGCACUGUUUAUGAGAAUCUAAUGCCUGAUGAUCUGAGGUGCAGCUGAGGCAGCAUAGCUAGGAGGUAGGUAUUUUGUUGCUGGGGACUCAUAUCAAAACCCUAUCAGUGAGUGGCAAGUGACAAUUAAGCUGCAUCUGGUGGCAGACUUUAUAGAGGCAAGUGAGUCAAUGUAUUUCAAUUGCACAGCUCUAUCUGGUGGCAAGUUUUAAGUCAGAAUCUGACACUUAAUUUAGUCUGUGCAUGGCCUGCCCAUUAUUUUAUUUACCACUUCUGUCUGUGCCUCUUUGCUGCACUGAACACUUGUCUCAGUCACAGUUUUGGUAAGCCCACAAGCUAACCCUAGCUAAAAUGAGUAAAAAGCAAACGACACUGGAGAGCUUCUUUGAAAAGUCAGAGAGACCCAAUGAUGAGACAGCAGAAGACUCUUAAGACUGCCAACAAAAAGAAAGCUGCACUUAAAAGAAAAUACCAGACUGGGCGUGGUGGCUCACACCUGUAAUCCUAGCACUUUGGGAGGCUGAAGCAGGUGGAUCCCUUGAGGCCAGGAGUUUGAGACCAGCCAAGCCAACAUGGUGAAACCCAUGUUUCU
rnacentral:lncRNA from 1 species